rnacentral:rRNA from 1 species
AUUGAACGCUGGCGGCAGGCUUAACACAUGCAAGUCGAGCGGUAACAGGAGAAGCUUGCUUCUCGCUGACGAGCGGCGGACGGGUGAGUAAUACUUAGGAAUCUACCUAGUAGUGGGGGAUAGCUCGGGGAAACUCGAAUUAAUACCGCAUACUACCUACGGGAGAAAGGGGGCAACUUGUUGCUCUCGCUAUUAGAUGAGCCUAAGUCGGAUUAGCUAGAUGGUGGGGUAAAGGCCUACCAUGGCGACGAUCUGUAGUUGGUCUGAGGGGAUGAUCAGCCACACCGGGACUGAGACACGGCCCGGACUCCUACGGGAGGCAGCAGUGGGGAAUAUUGGACAAUGGGGGCAACCCUGAUCCAGCCAUGCCGCGUGUGUGAAGAAGGCCUUUUGGUUGUAAAGCACUUUAAGCAGUGAAGAAGACUCUAGGGUUAAUACCCUUAGACGAUGACAUUAGCUGCAGAAUAAGCACCGGCUAACUCUGUGCCAGCCGCCGCCGUAA